UACGUAGGGUGCAAGCGUUAAUCGGAAUUACUGGGCGUAAAGCGUGCGCAGGCGGUUGUGCAAGACAGAUGUGAAAUCCCCGGGCUCAACCUGGGAAUUGCAUUUGUGACUGCGCGGCUAGAGUGUGUCAGAGGGGGGUAGAAUUCCACGUGUAGCAGUGAAAUGCGUAGAUAUGUGGAGGAAUACCGAUGGCGAAGGCAGCCCCCUGGGAUAACACUGACGCUCAUGCACGAAAGCGUGGGGAGCAAACAGG
rnacentral:rRNA from 1 species